AUGCUUGCUUUGGCAGCACAUAUAAUAAAAUUGGAACAAUACAGAGAAGAUUAGCAAGGUCCCUGUGCAAGGAUGACAUGCAAAUUCAUGAAGCAUUCCUUAUUUUU
rnacentral:snRNA from 1 species